rnacentral:tRNA from 1 species
GGGGAUGUAGCUCAGAUGGUAGAGUGCUCGCUUAGCAUGUGAGAGGUAUGGGGAUCAAUACCCUGCAUCUCUA